rnacentral:rRNA from 1 species
AUUGAACGCUGGCGGCAGGCCUAACACAUGCAAGUCGAGCGGAUGAGUGGAGCUUGCUCCAUGUUUCAGCGGCGGACGGGUGAGUAAUGCCUAGGAAUCUGCCUGGUAGUGGGGGACAACGUUUCGAAAGGAACGCUAAUACCGCAUACGUCCUACGGGAGCAAGUGGGGGAUCUUCGGACCUCACGCUACCAGAUGAGCCUAGGUCGGAUUAGCUAGUUGGUGAGGUAAGGGCUCACCAAGGCGACGAUCCGUAACUGGUCUGAGAGGAUGAUCAGUCACACUGGAACUGAGACACGGUCCAGACUCCUACGGGAGGCAGCAGUGGGGAAUAUUGGACAAUGGGCGAAAGCCUGAUCCAGCCAUGCCGCGUGUGUGAAGAAGGUCUUCGGAUUGUAAAGCACUUUAAGUUGGGAGGAAGGGCAGUAAGUUAAUACCUUGCUGUUUUGACGUUACCAACAGAAUAAGCACCGGCUAACUUCGUGCCAGCCGCCGCCGUAACAC